UCCCCGAUAGUCUAGUGGUGAGGAUACCUGCUUGUCAUUGAAUGCAACGAUUCGCAGGGGACCGGGGUUCAAUUCCCCGUCGAGGAG